UCUUUCUUUGCUGGCGACCGGCGCACGGGUGAGUAACACGUAUCCAACCUGCCCUUUACUCGGGGAUAGCCUUUCGAAAGAAGAUUAAUACCCGAUAGCAUAAUGAUUCCGCAUGGUUUCAUUAUUAAAGGAUUCCGGUAAAGGAUGGGGAUGCGUUCCAUUAGGUUGUUGGUGAGGUAACGGCCCACCAAGCCUUCGAUGGAUAGGGGUUCUGAGAGGAAGGUCCCCCACAUUGGAACUGAGACACGGUCCAA
rnacentral:rRNA from 1 species